UACGGAGGGGGCGAGCGUUAUUCGGAAUUAUUGGGCGUAAAGGGCGCGUAGGCGGCUCUAUAAGUCAAAGGUGAAAUCCCUCGGCUCAACUGAGGAACUGCCUUUGAAACUGUUGGCUUGAGGCCGGGAGAGGGUAGUGGAAUUCCCAGUGUAGCGGUGAAAUGCGUAGAUACUGGGAGGAACACCAGUGGCGAAGGCGGCUACCUGGACCGGUUCUGACGCUGAGGCGCGAAAGCGUGGGUAGCAAACAGG
rnacentral:rRNA from 1 species